UCAUGGCUAGAAAUUUCAUACACUGUGGAGUUAAAGCAUGCGCAUUGGGUACUUAGAAAUUAAUCCAAAAUGGCGUCUUUAGUAUAAGAUUUAAGCGGAAAAUACACAAAAUUAAGAAUGUUAGUAAUUUACGAUUGCAAAUUCCAACAUGCGAACAUCUGAAACAUUACCAAAUUACACAAUAUAUUAUUUGUUAAAUUUUCGGAACAAUACGAUCAGGCUGAAUGGGUUCCCGAGCUCCUCGUCAACAUACCUGUUAUUCACUGUAUAAAGUAUACUAAUUGACCAUAUUUUGUAUUCUGGAGCUGAAAUUAUGGCCAUACUUGCAAGACUUUUCAACCAUGCGAACAUCAGAAUAUACUCCCGAAUAACGAUACUUUUAUUCACGCUAGAUUUUAAAGCAUUUUAAUCCCGUUUAGUGGGUUCCAUAAUGUCUUGAAAUACGUUGUUUUUGAGAUCAUAAGACUGCUAGUUUAGAGGCCAUGAUAGGCGAAAUUUCAAAAUAUAGUUGCCAUUUUCGUAUUCGUUUCAUGACCUUUCCGCCAUUGUUGUUGUUCGAAAGCUCUCGAAAGCUGUUGCUAUGUUACCAUGGCCUUUACUGCUGACCUAAGAAACUGUAGCUACAAAAAUAUUCGCUCAGAGUCGCGGGAAAAAUUCAAAUUAGAUUGUUCAUACUGUGUUGUUGCGAAAUGUGUUGUUGGAAAUCACUACAAAUUAGUUAGUGGUGGACAUAUUGAACAAUCCCCUUGUUAUUUCAUUGAGAA